ACACCGGUGGUGAAGUGGUUAUCAUGCUUGCCUUCCAUACAUCCUGAAAAGGAGCUAAAUCAGCAAGCGGCACGGGUUCGAUUCCCGUCCGGUGUA